GAAGUGCGAUAAGCAAUGCGAAUUGCAGAAUUCCGCGAGUCAUCAGAUCUUUGAACGCAAAUGGCGCCGGAGGGAUAUCCUUCUGGCAUGUCUGUUUCAGUGUCUGAGAGGUUUCACCUAUAUCUUAAUGUGAUUGACCCUUGUGACAGUAUUUAUUUAUUGUUGCUGGUGGGUCUCUCAUGAAAGAUGCGCGAGUGGAUCUUUCGGUCCAAUGAAGUGGUCACAUCACUCGAAUGUGAUUUCAUUGGGAGCACCGAAUUAUCCGCCAUACUCGCGGUGACAGUAAACAGGUGAUGCUAUAGUAAUAUAUCGUCAUCUUUUUUUCUCUCUCUACACCCUGCAUCUGAGACAGGCAAGAUCACCCGCUGAACUUAA
rnacentral:misc_RNA from 1 species